CCAUCAGGGUCUCAAGCAAAAGAACAGUUUGACUUGGUCUUGGGAAAUGGCUCAGACUCCAUCUUGGAGGAAUCCCUGGAAAAGAUUAAACAAAGAAGGCCCAAAGAAUAUUUACAAUAUUGUUUGAAUACUCAAGACAUGGGGGGACUCCACCAUCUGUUCUCUGAUAACAGACUUACUACGAAACAGGAAUGAUGGUUUCCUGAGAACAAAUGCUUCAAUAUCAAGACAUGCAAAGAUACCACUUGGCUGCCAAUAACAAACUGCUCCAAAGUUACAAACGCAGACCAAGUGUUGGUAAGUAAUAUUAGUUAUGAUGAUGAUUUUGUGGCAUACUAAAAAUGUCAGAUAGAUUUUUAGCAUUAUGAGGGUACUAUAGAUAGUAGAAGGUAAUUGAACCAAAAUUAUGCUCAAGAGAAAUUUUGAAGUAAAUGUGCAAAUUAGGCUACCUAGUAUAAACUAGAACUGCCUAAGUCAUUCUGUUCCUUAGUAAAAGAUAAUCACAUAAAUCAUUUAUACAGCAGAGAGUUUGUUAUUAGUUUCUGAGAUCUAUUUCGGUCAUCUACAACUGGUGGUGUGGAAAGGAAAAGAAGGCUGCAGAGACUGAACAAACAGCAUGCACUGUGGUAUCCUUUAUUUAAAAAUUGUGAGCUAACUACAGUUGUAGUGUUCUCAUUUACCAUUCUGAUGGCAUAAUAAACUGGGAGAA